rnacentral:rRNA from 1 species
AACGAACGCUGGCGGCAUGCCUAACACAUGCAAGUCGAACGAGACCUUCGGGUCUAGGGGCGCACGGGGGCGUAACGCGUGGGAACCUGCCCUUAGGUUCGGAAUAACUCCCCGAAAGGGGUGCUAAUACCGGAUAAUGUCUUCGGACCAAAGAUUUAUCGCCUUUGGAUGGGCCCGCGUUGGAUUAGCUAGUUGGUAGGGUAAAAGCCUACCAAGGCGACGAUCCAUAGCUGGUCUGAGAGGAUGAUCAGCCACACUGGGACUGAGACACGGCCCAGACUCCUACGGGAGGCAGCAGUGGGGAAUAUUGGACAAUGGGCGAAAGCCUGAUACAGCAAUGCCGCGUGAGUGAUGAAGGCCGUAGGGUUGUAAAGCUCUUUUACCCGGGAUGAUAAUGACAGUACCGGGAGAAUAAGCUCCGGCUAACUCCGUG